rnacentral:rRNA from 1 species
UUAAGUCAGAUGUGAAAUCCCCGGGCUCAACCUGGAACUGCAUCUGAUACUGGCAAGCUUGAGUCUCGUAGAGGGGGUAGAAUUCCAGGUGUAGCGGUGAAAUGCGUAGAGAUCUGGAGGAAUACCGGUGGCGAAGGCGGCCCCCUGGACGAAGACUGACGCUCAGGUGCGAAAGCGUGGGGAGCAAACAGGAUUAGAUACCCUGGUAGUCCACGCCGUAAACGAUGUCGACUUGGAGGUUGUGCCCUUGAGGCGUGGCUUCCGGAGCUAACGCGUUAAGUCGACCGCCUGGGGAGUACGGCCGCAAGGUUAAAACUCAAAUGAAUUGACGGGGGCCCGCACAAGCGGUGGAGCAUGUGGUUUAAUUCGAUGCAACGCGAAGAACCUUACCUGGUCUUGACAUCCACGGAAGUUUUCAGAGAUGAGAAUGUGCCUUCGGGAACCGUGAGACAGGUGCUGCAUGGCUGUCGUCAGCUCGUGUUGUGAAAUGUUGGGUUAAGUCCCGCAACGAGCGCAACCCUUAUCCUUUGUUGCCAGCGGUCCGGCCGGGAACUCAAAGGAGACUGCCAGUGAUAAACUGGAGGAAGGUGGGGAUGACGUCAAGUCAUCAUGGCCCUUACGACCAGGGCUACACACGUGCUACAAUGGCGCAUACAAAGAGAAGCGACCUCGCGAGAGCAAGCGGACCUCAUAAAGUGCGUCGUAGUCCGGAUUGGAGUCUGCAACUCGACUCCAUGAAGUCGGAAUCGCUAGUAAUCGUGGAUCAGAAUGCCACGGUGAAUACGUUCCCGGGCCUUGUACACACCGCCCGUCACACCAUGGGAGUGGGUUGCAAAAGAAGUAGGUAGCUUAACCUUCGGGAGGGCGCUUACCACUUUGUGAUUCAUGACUGGGGUGAAGUCGUAACAAGGUAACCGUAGGGGAACCUGCGGUUG